rnacentral:rRNA from 1 species
CCUGAUCCAGCCAUGCCGCGUGAGUGAAGAAGGCCUUCGGGUUGUAAAGCUCUUUCGGCCGGGAAGAAAUCGCGCAGGCUAAUAUCCNGUGUGGAUGACGGUACCGGAAUAAGAAGCACCGGCUAACUACGUGCCAGCAGCCGCGGUAAUACGUAGGGUGCGAGCGUUAAUCGGAAUUACUGGGCGUAAAGCGUGCGCAGGCGGUUUUGUAAGACAGGCGUGAAAUCCCCGGGCUCAACCUGGGAACUGCGCUUGUGACUGCAUCACUCGAGUACGGCAGAGGGGGGUGGAAUUCCACGUGUAGCAGUGAAAUGCGUAGAGAUGUGGAGGAACACCGAUGGCGAAGGCAGCCCCCUGGGCCGAUACUGACGCUCAUGCACGAAAGCGUGGGUAGCAAACAGGAUUAGAUACCCUGGUAGUCCACGCCCUAAACGAUGUCAACUAGGUGUUGGGUGGGUAAAACCAUUUAGUACCGUAGCUAACGCGUGAAGUUGACCGCCUGGGGAGUACGGCCGCAAGGUUAAAACUCAG